GUCUUAGUAGUUUAAAUUAAAAACACUGGUCUUGUAAAUCAGAAACAAAGCAACUUUCUAAGACU
rnacentral:tRNA from 1 species